GGUUGGAACAAGGAGGUUCAUAAUGCUGCAAGAAAACAAAUUUGCAAGUUUUGGUACUUUUGCAACAUUCCAUUUAUUGCAGCCAGGUCUCCUUAUUGGCAAGGCAUGGUAGGUUCCAUAACCAUUUGUGGUGCGGGGUUUAAAGCCCCUACCGAUGCUGAGUUAAGUGGCUCCCUCUUGUUACAAAUGGUUGAGGAUAUGAAAGUUGAGCUAGAGGACCACCGACAGUCUUGGAGCCAAAAGGGUUGCACCAUCAUGACAGAUGGUUGGACGGAUAGGAGGAAUUGAACACUCCUAAAUUUUCUUGUUUCCUGCGGAGGAUCCACCAUGUUCUUGAAGUCUAUAGAUGCUUCCUCACAUGUGAAAAAUGCCACAUACUUAUGUGAGGCUAUUGAGGAAGUCAUACAAGAGGUGGGGGAAGAAAAUGUGGUGCAGGUGGUGACAGAUAAUGCAACAAGUUAUGUUGCUGCAGGUAAACUUUUGAUGGAGAGGCACCUGAAAUUUUUUUGGUUUCCUUGUGCGGCCCAUUGCCUUGACCUCAUGUUGGAGGAUAUUGGUAAGCUUGAAUGGGUGAAAUCAAUAGUUGAAAGGGCCAAAAAUAUCAGCAAGUUUAUCUACAAUCAUGCAUUGGUCCUUAGCAUUAUGAGGCAAUACAUGGGGCAAAAGGAGUUGGCUUGUCCUGGUAUUACAAGGUUUGCCUCAAACUUCCUCACACUAAAAUCCUUGAUAAAAUCAAAGGCGGCUUUGAGGCGUAUGUUUGUUGGUGAGGAGUGGACUUCCUCAUCCUAUGCUAUGACCACUGCAGGGAUAGAUGUGGUAAAUUGAAUUUUUGAUGAGCCAGGUUUUUGGACCCCCUAUGGAGAAACCGUGCAGGUCACUGAGCCCCUCGUAGUUCUCUUAUGAGUUGUUGAUGGGGAGAAGCCCUCUAUGGGCUAUAUAUAUGAGGGUAUGGAUAGGGCCAAGGAGGCCAUUAGGUCCAUAUAUGCAAGAGAUGAGGAUAAGUAUGGCUCCAUUUGGGAGAUUUUUGAUAGGAGAUGGAAGAACUAGCUUCACAGGCCCAUCCAUGCAGCAGCCUAUUACCUCAAUCUGACAUUUCGAUUCCGUGAUGACUUCAAGGCGGAUGAGGAGGUUCUUAGUGGCCUGUAUAUAGUGGUUCAGAAGUUGUGUACUGAUGGCACAACCUCAAGUACAACGCUCCAGCUGGAUAAAUAUUAUAAUCGAGAAGGGGCAAUCUUUGCAAGCAGCAUGUGCAUAGAGGCUUGAACACAAUUGCAGCCAGAUAGAUGGUGGCAAAUGUUUGGGCCCUCAACCCCAAACCUUCAAAAAAUUGCCAUCCGUAUUUUCAGUCAGCCAUGCAGCGCUUCUGGAUGUGAGCGCAAUUGGUCCAUGUUCGAGCACAUCCACUCGAAGAGGCGUAAUAGAUUGUCUAUGGAGAGGUUGAAUGAUCUUGUUUUUGUUCAUUACAACCUCCGUCUUAGGACCAGACAGAUUUUGGACACUGACUCCUCUCCGAUCACUUUAGCGGAGAUCAAUCCAGAGUCUGAGUGGAUCACUGAGUCUACCGAUCCCGUCUUCAUUGAGGAGGACCAUGAGUGGGUUGACCAGGCAGACAGAGAGGCUGAGGCUGUGGCUAUGGUAGAGGAGGAGGAUAGAGCACGAUCCAAAACAGGCACCUCACAGGCAGAGACUAUGGCUUCUCAGUCAUCCAGGACCUACCUUAGACGCAUUUGUAGGAGGCAAACAGACUACUCUGAGGCUGAGGAUGAGCUAGAGCCUGAGCCAUAGACUUGUUUUUGUUUACAGUUAUAUAUAUGUUUGGGAACAUUUGAUGUCAUGGAUUUUAUAUACAUUUGAAAACAUUUAUAACUCUAUAUAUCUAUGUUUUCUAUUUCCUUCAGCUACAAUUUACAUUUCUAUGCAUGUGAUGGAUGUAUGUUUAUGUAUGUGAUCAAAUUAGCUUCUAUUUGAUGAUGUUAUAGUGUCUUUAAGCUUUAUUCAAUAAUGGGUGCAUGAAACAAGUUUUAAAUCGUUAAAAAUCUCUAAAUUUCAAGGGUUUUUUAUUUUGCCGAGUCAUUGCCGAGUCGUUGCCGAGUCAUAGCCGAGUCACGAGUCGAGUCGGCCUUGUCGAGUCCGAGUCCGAGUCUGGGAACUUUGGAAGAAAUACACCCAAGGAUGAAUUGAACAUAAAAUUUCUAAGGCAAGGAAGGAAUCAGGGAUGAACUGAACAAGAAAUUUCCCCUCCAGGGAAAAAUUUGAAAAAUCCAUUCUCAGGCAUCAAAUCACAUCCAAAUUUCAAAAAUUUUACAGAUUUGGAUUCGUAAGAGAAUUUUCUCUCCUGGACCGUGGAACCCUAAUUUGGAAAUUUUCCUAAAAAAUAGGAAAUGUGUAGAAUUGAUGAAAAACCUUCUUCAAGCAAGGAAAGUUGAGGAGACUUCAAGAAAAUUCUUCUUGAAUCGAAUUUUCCCUCUCCAACAAUUCCAGAUGUGCAGGAGCAGAUAUACGACGACAGAGUCCAUUUGCAUGGCGAGGAUCUAUUGAACGCAUGGCAGUAUGGUGGCGCAUUCAUUGUCGGAAUAUUUGACCAAAUGGCAACCUUGUCAUUGCAUGUUGAAUUUAUGGCAGAUUCCUUUUGCAUGCAGCCGCCGCAUGUGGAAAUGAUGGAGCAUUUAUGACAUAAUGGGGUGAUUUUUGCAUGGAUGAAUAUUCAAUGCAUGUUGGGCGAAUUUGAAGGAGGUGGUGCAUUUAAUGCGCAAUGGAUUCUAUUUUGGGUACUUUUGAAUUAAUUUUAUAUGGGCAUGAUGGGUUAUUAAUUGGAGAUUCCCACCUUGUUGCAUCUUGAGUGGAGAAUCUUUUAGGGAAAACCCUAAUUAGGGUUUUGCAUGUAGCCAGGGCUUGAAGCCUAUAUAAGGGGUGACCCCCCUCAUUUGCAGGGAGGGAGCUUUGUAUGAAAUUGUUGCGAUAAGUUUUUUGAGAAAAUAAUAGUGAAACAUUGUUCUCUGAUAGUGUCCACUUGAGUUAUUUUUUCAAAACUUGCAUGGUUUCACCUUCCUCACUUAGAUUAGAAGUAGUAAAGUGCUUUGAUUUCAAUGGAGAAUGUAAUGGUGUUUGAUGAAUUUCCAUGGUUCAUACUUUUUGUAUCUUGCUGAUUGUAAGUUGCAGUGUAAAGUUAGCCCGAGCCACUAAACUUGAGCUAAGUUCGGUUGUGGACAGUCGUUUGGAUUGCACCGUUUUGGGUAUUCAAAUGCACUUUCCCGAUUUGAAAAUCCUUCAAUAUCCUCAGAAGAUUGCACCGGUUCUUGCGGAGUUGUAGUUUAUCUUGGCGAAGCAGAGCUUGGUUUAUUUGGAAUCUGUCCACCAAAGCACUAUUCUGUGAGGCCCUACCCCGACUCAACUUGACAUUUUCAGUUAUUUGCAUAUUGAGACUAUUAUGGAUGCUUUAUUUUAUGCUUUAUGGAUUUAGAACCUAUAUG